rnacentral:rRNA from 1 species
UACGUAGGGGGCAAGCGUUGUUCGGAUUCACUGGGUUUAAAGGGUGCGUAGGUGGGUUGGUAAGUCAGUGGUGAAAUCCCCGAGCUUAACUUGGGAACUGCCAUUGAUACUAUCAAUCUUGAAUACCGUGGAGGUCAGCGGAAUAUGUCAUGUAGCGGUGAAAUGCUUAGAUAUGACAUAGAACACCAAUUGCGAAGGCAGCUGGCUACACGAAUAUUGACACUGAGGCACGAAAGCGUGGGGAUCAAACAGG